AUAGUGACAGGAAGGACACGGCAUAGAACUAUGUCCUUGGCCUUCUUCCUCUCCCGACUCCUGCUUGCCUGUCUAGCCUAUAUCUCUUAGGAAUUAAUAUUUCCAACUCAGUUAUGGAGUCAAGGAAUUGACCAAAACUCUUGAGGAGUGAAUGGCUUAGAAGACGGAACAAGCCUGUGCUACCUGACAACGCUCUCAGUCUCGUUGCAGACACUGGCAUCUGAGCAGAGUAGUAUGGUGCCUUAGCCUCUUCCAGAGGACGGGCUGUCAAGGCUGUGGGCCCUGUGUCUGGAGCAGGGCAGCCAGGAGGAGGGAGGUGUCUCCAAGAGAAAGGGCUAAGAUCCAAGUGACCUGUGAGGACAGUGUGGCUCCUCAGUGGACAACACCUGGACCCUGGACUUCAGUUCCCAGCCUGCCUUUUUUAUUUUAAAUCACAUAUAUGUAUUCAUGGGAUAAAUUAUGGUAAUUAGAUAUAUGUAAAUGUAAUGAUCAAUUUUGAGUAAUUAGCAUUUAUAAUUUUCUCUGUUGGAAAUCUUUUGGAAAGUAAGACUUUAAACUGGUUCCUCCUACCUAACUGUAGUUUGCUCUCUAUUGCAACCCCCUUUGCAUCCUCCAUCUCCCUCUCCCUCCUAGACUCCACUGGCCUUUAUUCUACUCUUUUAUGAGAUCAGUUUUUUAUAAUACAACAUUCCUUCACCCAUUCACCCAUUGGUGGACACCCAGGUUGAUUCUGUCUUGGCUAUAGUAAAGAUGAGAGUGUAAAUUCCUCUUUUAUAUGCUAAUUUCAUUUCCUUUGGCUACAAACCCAGUGGUAGAAUCACCAAAUGGUGAUGGUGGUUGUUUGGUUGUUUUUUUCUGAACCUUCGUAUUAUUUUCACGGUGAUACUAAACUAUCCCCCCCAUAGUGUGUGGGAGUCCAUUUUCUCCCUACCGUGUGUGGGAACCCCACUUUCUCCCCACCGUGUGUGGGAACCCCCUUCUUGCCCUCACCAGCCUUCUCUAUCCUCACCAGGGUGAGGUGAUGACUCCGUAGUGGUUUGGAUUGCAUUCACUGCUCACUGGUAUGUUUUCUUUUAAGAAGUGUCAGGUUUGGGUCAUUUGUCUAUCUUUAAAAUUGUAUCCUUGGUUCUUUCCCUUGCAUGGCUUGGGGUCCUUAUGUGUGUCUACUUCUGCUUCCAUGUUUGCAUCUGUAACAUAGCAUACCUUCCUUCUAGCAUUGUUAGGAUAAUUCAGUGGGUUCCUAUCUGUAGAACACUUAAAAUAUUGCCUGGAGCCACCCAUAAAAACUUUAUUUGCAGAGCUGGAGAGAUGGCUCAGCUGUGAGGAAUAUUUGUUUUUCUUGAAGACUCACAGGUUCAGUUCCCAGCACUUACAUAUGGCUUGCCACCAUCUCGGACCCCAGUCUCAGGUCUGACCCCCCCCCCCUUCCCACCUCUGAGGACACUAGGUAUGAAGGCAGAACACUCAUACACAUAAAAAUAACUAACACUCAUACACAUAAAAAUAACUAAUUUUUUUAAUGUUUAACUCUCAAUAAUGUUAACUAUUUUAUUCCUAUUUUAUAAAUAUACAAAUUUUCCUCAUAUUUGAGAUAUUAUACAUAGAGAUUAGAUUCUGAUUAAAAUACUGACUCUGUCCUGGGGAAUUUAACAGCUAACUCUAGCAGAGGAGAGAGAUUCUAUACAAUAGCAUAUCUCAAAGACUAGAUCUUGCUGUGGUUGAUGGAUGGAUCCUUCACUGUCUAAACUUAGAAUCUCUAUUGAAGCUGUCUGGCUUGUGAAAAUAUUACAUAUUUGUUUUGAAGUCCAUAUUAGGACAUGCUGUUCACUGUUUUGAGAAACUUAUUGUAUAAUAAUUUCUGUGUUGCUUUAAGAAGUAGCAGGUAUGGGGGAAUGCUGCUCUUAAAUCUCCCUAAAAGGGGACUGGGAACCUGGCUCAGGCAUCACUUGCCUUGCUAACACAAAGACCCUAGGCUAAUCUCCAGCUCCCACAUUAGAAAGGGAAGGCAUAGUAGCACACGGUUACAAUCCCAGCACUGGGGGGUGGAGGUAAGCAGAUCCCUAGGGCUUCCUAGCCAUAGUUCAGUCAAGUAUAAGGUAAAUAGGUCAUUUCACAUCUCAUCUGCUAAUGGCUAUGGCUUGGGGUGUGCUGCUCGAAAUAAAACAGGGACAGAUCUUUGAUCUUUUGCUCCUGAAGCUUACACCCUCACUCAUCAUCAGGAUGGGCUGUGGGUCCUUCUGAAGGCCACUGUUCAUGUUCGUUCUCUCUCUCUCUCUCUCUCUCUCUCUCUCUCUCUCUCUCACACACACACACACACACACACACACACACACACACACACCAGUAACAGUGGAUACAGUGCAAUAAGAUGAGUCCCAGAUCUGCACAUUGCAGAGAUCCUCUUUGGACAGAUAAAUCCUCCCAGGAAUAGGAGAAUGGUGGUGUCCACACAGACUGGCCAGGAAGCUAGUGGGCCGCCGCUCUCCUCUCCCAACAGGCAGAUCUGUGUAGUUUACAUCUGUGCCUAAGUGGCUGGAGUGGUUGGUGCACUGCAGAGCGACACUGACCUUGCUCAUGCUUUGGGGGGUAAUUGGACUUUCAGGAUGAACUCUGAAUAAUCUGCCACUGUAAUUGACACAAACCGGCUUUUCUUUCGCAGCAGACAUUCAUGCCUUCUUGCUCCAACUGUUUUUUCUUGAACAAACAUGUGUAUUGUAGCCAAUGCAAGGAAAAUCCCACUCACCAGUUUGAUCUGAGUUGCUGCUGUCCAAGAACAAUGGCCCAGUGUGUCGGCAGCCUUCGAGAAUCCGGGUUCCGUGCCCGAGUCUGGUUGUGUGAGUCUCUUUGGAAGACCCUAAGGCCAGGAAGCCAUUGGUCUAAUGAAGACGCUCCUGCCACCCUGUGUAAUAUCAGUCCAUGAUCAGCCUUUUCCACUGCCAGCAUAGGCUCUAGCCACAGCCGCAGAGUCAACACUGACAUGGGCAGAUAACACUACCGUCAAGGGGCUCUCUGAAGCUUGACGUAACAGUAUGGGCCUGUAAUCCCAGGUACUCAGGAGACUGAGGCAGGAAGUUUGCAAGUUGGAAUUUGUAGCCUGGGCUACCAAGCAAGCUCAAGGCCAACUGAGCAACUUUGUAAGAUCUUGUCUCAAAAUAAAAUAAUAAAUAAUUGGGGCCAGGGGAUGUACUCAGUGGUAGAAAGCUGGUUUAACAUAGAAGUCCUUGGGCUCUGUUCUUAACACACACACACAC
rnacentral:lncRNA from 1 species